rnacentral:snRNA from 14 species
AUACUUACCUGGCGCGGGGGAUACCGUGAUCAAGAAGGCGGUGCCUCCAGGACGAGGCCUGUACAUUGCACUCCGUAUGGGCUGACUCCUGCGACUACCCAAAUCGGGGUGGCUCGAGCGCAUAAUUUUUGGUAGUGGGGACAAGCGUUCGCGCUGUCCCUUU